rnacentral:rRNA from 1 species
ACAGAGGGUGCGAGCGUUAAUCGGAAUUACUGGGCGUAAAGCGUGCGUAGACGGUUAUUUAAGUCGGGUGUGAAAGCCCCGGGCUCAACCUGGGAAUUGCAUUCGAGACUGAAUAGCUAGGGUACGGUAGAGGGAAGUGGAAUUUCCGGUGUAGCGGUGAAAUGCGUAGAUAUCGGAAGGAACAUCAGUGGCGAAAGCGACUUCCUGGACCAGUACCGACGUUCAGGCACGAAAGCGUGGGGAGCAAACAGGA